rnacentral:rRNA from 1 species
ACGCACGCUGGCGGCCUGCCUCACCCCUGCAAGUCGCACGGGACCUUCGGGUCUAGUGGCGCACGGGUGCGUAACGCGUGGGAACCUGCCCUUAGGUUCGGAAUAACUCCCCGAAAGGGGUGCUAAUACCGGAUAAUGUCUUCGGACCAAAGAUUUAUCGCCUUUGGAUGGGCCCGCGUUGGAUUAGCUAGUUGGUAGGGUAAAAGCCUACCAAGGCGACGAUCCAUAGCUGGUCUGAGAGGAUGAUCAGCCACACUGGGACUGAGACACGGCCCAGACUCCUACGGGAGGCAGCAGUGGGGAAUAUUGGACAAUGGGCGAAAGCCUGAUCCAGCAAUGCCGCGUGAGUGAUGAAGGCCUUAGGGUUGUAAAGCUCUUUUACCCGGGAUGAUAAUGACAGUACCGGGAGAAUAAGCCCCGGCUAACUCCGUG